rnacentral:rRNA from 2 species
UAGAAUUCCACGUGUAGCAGUGAAAUGCGUAGAGAUGUGGAGGAAUACCGAUGGCGAAGGCAGCCUCCUGGGAUAACACUGACGUUCAUGCUCGAAAGCGUGGGUAGCAAACAGGAUUAGAUACCCUGGUAGUCCACGCCCUAAACGAUGACAAUUAGCUGUUGGGACACUAGGUGUUUUAGUAGCGAAGCUAACGCGUGAAAUUGUCCGCCUAGGGAGUACGGUCGCAAGAUUAAAACUCAAAGGAAUUGACGGGGACCCGCACAAGCGGUGGAUGAUGUGGAUUAAUUCGAUGCAACGCGAAGAACCUUACCUGGUCUUGACAUGUACGGAAUCUCUUAGAGAUAGGAGAGUGCCUUCGGGAGCCGUAACACAGGUGCUGCAUGGCUGUCGUCAGCUCGUGUCGUGAGAUGUUGGGUUAAGUCCCGCAACGAGCGCAACCCUUGUCAUUAGUUGCCAUCAUUAAGUUGGGCACUCUAAUGAGACUGCCGGUGACAAACCGGAGGAAGGUGGGGAUGACGUCAAGUCCUCAUGGCCCUUAUGACCAGGGCUUCACACGUCAUACAAUGGUCGGUACAGAGGGUAGCGAAGCCGCGAGGUGAAGCCAAUCUCAGAAAGCCGAUCGUAGUCCGGAUUGCACUCUGCAACUCGAGUGCAUGAAGUCGGAAUCGCUAGUAAUCGUGGAUCAGCAUGC